rnacentral:rRNA from 1 species
GACGAACGCUGGCGGCGUGCUUAACACAUGCAAGUCGAACGGAAAGGCCCUGCUUUUGUGGGGUGCUCGAGUGGCGAACGGGUGAGUAACACGUGAGUAACCUGCCCUUGACUUUGGGAUAACUUCAGGAAACUGGGGCUAAUACCGGAUAGGAGCUCCUGCUGCAUGGUGGGGGUUGGAAAGUUUCGGCGGUUGGGGAUGGACUCGCGGCUUAUCAGCUUGUUGGUGGGGUAGUGGCUUACCAAGGCUUUGACGGGUAGCCGGCCUGAGAGGGUGACCGGCCAAAUUGGGACUGGGAGACGGCCCAGACCCCUACGGGGGGCAGCAGGGGGGAAUAUUGCACAAGGGGCGGAAGCCUGAGGCAGCAACGCCGGGGGCGGGAUGACGGCCUUCGGGUUGGAAACCGCUUUCGCCUGUGACGAAGGGGGAGUGACGGUAAUGGGGAAAGAAGCACCGGCUAACUACGG